AAAUAUUUAAAUAUUUAAUAUUUAAUCUGUGGUUCAUUCAGGCCCUUCUCUUUCAACUUUUUAUUUAUUUACUUUUGUUAACCCAAUUUUAUAGCUGUGUUCUCUGGUUGGUAGGUUAAAAGAGAGGUAAAAUCAAGUGUUGACCAUUUUGCAAUGUAAUGGUGACACUGGCCAUGGGCUUCCAAUGGAAGAAAAGGGAGAAAAUGUGAAAAAGUCCAAUGGGCUGAGGAGGUAUAACUAAGUAUAUCUUUUAUAUGUGCUGUUUUCAGUCACCCCUUCUAUUGCCAUAGUCAAUCAAGAGUUGGCUCAUUGGUCAAAGGAGAUUACUGUCAAUCCAGAUAUGUCUCUGAAUUUGUAUACCAAAAAGUCCAGAAAAUUCUGAAAUUAAUUUUAACAUAUCAGGGGCUUACACAGUGCUGGUACAUAUUGGGUUCCCAAUGAAUGUUAGUGGAAUUAAUUUACUUUUUAGUUCAUUGUGGAAAAUAAAAGGAAUAAUCAAUUUUAUUGUGCUAUACUUAGGGGUGAGUUUGCCAAAGACUCUAUGUCAGGAAAGGGAGAACAUAUGUGGCUGGUUAUAAAAUUUUAUGUUUUACAGUGAUAUAAGGCGGUAACUGGGUUAUACACCAAUUGCAGGGAGUUAGAGGAGGCAUGAAUACAAUGGUACUCUGGUUCAUUUGAACCUAGAAUGAAUGAGGAAAGUAAUUUAAUUUCAGUGGCUGUGUAUAUGUUUUCAAAAAUGUAGAAAAUAUAAAAGCUAAUUCUGAAAUGCAAAAGGAAUUCAAUACUUAUAAAAUUGGCCAAAGGCCUUUUUGACACAUUAGCUUUGUAUUAUCUUUUUGUCCCAUGUAUUUGCAGUUUAACCUUAAGGCCCAACCCCUAUUUGAAAUAAAGGAACU
rnacentral:lncRNA from 10 species